rnacentral:rRNA from 1 species
CGUAGGUGGCAAGCGUUGUCCGGAUUAUUGGGCGUAAAGGGAGCGCAGGUGGUGAUUUAAGUCUGAUGUGAAAGCCCACGGCUCAACCGUGGAAGGUCAUUGGAAACUGGAUCACUUGAGUGCAGAAGAGGAAAGCGGAAUUCCAUGUGUAGCGGUGAAAUGCGUAGAUAUAUGGAGGAACACCAGUGGCGAAAGCGGCUUCUGGUCUGACACUGACACUGAGGCUCGAAGCGUGGGGAGCAAACAGGAUU